rnacentral:rRNA from 1 species
UCGGGAAUUUUGGGCAAUGGGGGAAACCCUGACCCAGCAACGCCGCGUGAAGGAUGAAGUAUUUCGGUAUGUAAACUUCGAAAGAAUAGGAAGAAUAAAUGACGGUACUAUUUAUAAGGUCCGGCUAACUACGUGCCAGCAGCCGCGGUAAUACGUAGGGACCAAGCGUUGUUCGGAUUUACUGGGCGUAAAGGGCGCGUAGGCGGCAAUUCAAGUCAUCUGUGAAAUCUCCGGGCUUAACUCGGAACGGUCAGAUGAUACUGCUUUGCUAGAGUGCAGAAGGGGCAAUCGGAAUUCUUGGUGUAGCGGUGAAAUGCGUAGAUAUCAAGAGGAACACCUGAGGUGAAGACGGGUUGCUGGGCUGACACUGACGCUGAGGCGCGAAAGCCAGGGGAGCAAACGGGAUUAGAUACCCACGUAGUCCCUGAGCGGGCUGGCAAGGCGCAU